AGAACGAACGCUGGCGGCAGGCCUAACACAUGCAAGUCGAGCGCUACCUUCGGGUGAGCGGCGACGGGUUAGUAACGCGUGGGAAUGUACCCUUCUCUAUGGAAUAGCCUCGGGAAACUGAGAGUAAUACCAUAUACGCCCUUCGGGGGAAAGGUUUAUCGGAGAAGGAUCAGCCCGCGUAAGAUUAGAUAGUUGGUGGGGUAAUGGCCUACCAAGUCUACGAUCUUUAGCUGGUUUUAGAGGAUGAUCAGCAACACUGGGACUGAAACACGGCCCAGACUCC
rnacentral:rRNA from 1 species